rnacentral:rRNA from 1 species
UGGGGAAUUUUGGACAAUGGGCGAAAGCCUGAUCCAGCAAUGCCGCGUGUGUGAAGAAGGCCUUCGGGUUGUAAAGCAUUUUUUGUCCGGAAAGAAAUCCUUGGCUCUAAUACAGUCGGGGGAUGACGGUACCGGAAGAAUAAGCACCGGCUAACUACGUGCCAGCAGCCGCGGUAAUACGUAGGGUGCAAGCGUUAAUCGGAAUUACUGGGCGUAAAGCGUGCGCAGGCGGUUUGCUAAGACCGAUGUGAAAUCCCCGGGCUCAACCUGGGAACUGCAUUGGUGACUGGCAGGCUAGAGUAUGGCAGAGGGGGGUAGAAUUCCACGUGUAGCAGUGAAAUGCGUAGAGAUGUGGAGGAAUACCGAUGGCGAAGGCAGCCCCCUGGGCCAAUACUGACGCUCAUGCACGAAAGCGUGGGGAGCAAAACAGGAUUAGGAUACCCUGGUAGUCCACGCCCUAAACGAUGUCAACUAGUUGUUGGGGAUUCAUUUCCUUAGUAACGUAGCUAACGCGUGAAGUUGACCGCCUGGGGGAGUACGGUCGCAAGAUUAAAACUCAAAUGAAUUGACGGGGUCAUAGCUGUUUCCU